rnacentral:rRNA from 1 species
CCGGCGAGUGGCGAACGGGUGAGUAACAUAUCGGAACGUACCGGGCAGUGGGGGAUAACUGAUCGAAAGAUCAGCUAAUACCGCAUAUUUUCUGAGGAAGAAAGCAGGGGACCAUUUGGCCUUGCGCUAUCCGAGCGGCCGAUAUCUGAUUAGCUUGUUGGCGGGGUAAAGGCCCACCAAGGCGACGAUCAGUAGCGGGUCUGAGAGGACGAUCCGCCACACUGGGACUGAGACACGGCCCAGACUCCUACGGGAGGCAGCAGUGGGGAAUUUUGGACAAUGGGCGCAAGCCUGAUCCAGCCAUGCCGCGUGUCUGAAGAAGGCCUUCGGGUUGUAAAGGACUUUUGUCGGGGAAGAAAAGGCUGUUGCUAAUAUCAGCGGCUGAUGACGGUACCCGAAAAAUAAGCACCGGCUAACUACGUGCCAGCAGCCGCGGUAAUACGUAGGGUGCGAGCGUUAAUCGGAAUUACUGGGCGUAAAGCGGGCGCAGACGGUUACUUAAGCAGGAUGUGAAAUCCCCGGGCUCAACCCGGGAAUUGCGUUCUGAACUGGGUGGCUAGAGUGUGUCAGAGGGAGGUAGAAUUCCACGUGUAGCAGUGAAAUGCGUAGAGAUGUGGAGGAAUACCGAUGGCGAAGGCAGCCUCCUGGGAUAACACUGACGUUCAUGCCCGAAAGCGUGGGUAGCAAACAGGAUUAGAUACCCUGGUAGUCCACGCCCUAAACGAUGUCGAUUAGCUGUUGGGCAGCCUGACU